rnacentral:rRNA from 1 species
AUUGAACGCUGGCGGCAUGCCUUACACAUGCAAGUCGAACGGUAACGGGCCUUCGGGUGCCGACGAGCGGCGAACGGGUGAGUAAUGUAUCGGAACGUACCUUUCAGUGGGGGAUAACGUAGCGAAAGUUACGCUAAUACCGCAUAUUCUGUGAGCAGGAAAGCAGGGGAUCGCAAGACCUUGCGCUGAUUGAGCGGCCGAUAUCAGAUUAGCUAGUUGGUGAGGGAAAGGCUCACCAAGGCGACGAUCUGUAGCGGGUCUGAGAGGAUGAUCCGCCACACUGGAACUGAGACACGGGCCAGACUCCUACGGGAGGCAGCAGUGGGGAAUUUUGGACAAUGGGGGCAACCCUGAUUCAGCCAUGCCGCGUGAGUGAAGAAGGCCUUCGGGUUGUAAAGCUCUUUCGGCCGGGAAGAAAUCGUAUCAGCUAAUACCUGGUGCGGAUGACGGUACCGGCAUAAGAAGCACCGGCUAACUACGUGCCAGCCGCCGCCGUAAGAC